GAUCUCGUAGCUCAGUUGGUAGAGCACAUCACUUUUAAUGAUGGGGUCUUGGGUUCGAGUCCCAACGGGAUCACAA
rnacentral:tRNA from 1 species